rnacentral:rRNA from 1 species
AUCUUGCGCAAUGGGCGAAAGCCUGACGCAGCCAUGCCGCGUGAAUGAUGAAGGUCUUAGGAUUGUAAAAUUCUUUCAGCAGGGACGAUAAUGACGGUACCUGCAGAAGAAGCCCCGGCUAACUUCGUGCCAGCAGCCGCGGUAAUACGAAGGGGGCUAGCGUUGCUCGGAAUUACUGGGCGUAAAGGGAGCGUAGGCGGGUUAUCAAGUUGGAGGUGAAAGCCCAGGGCUCAACCUUGGAAUUGCCUUCAAAACUGAUAGCCUAGAGUAUGAUAGAGGUAAGUGGAACUCCGAGUGUAGAGGUGAAAUUCGUAGAUAUUCGGAAGAACACCAGUGGCGAAGGCGACUUACUGGAUCAUGACUGACGCUGAGGCUCGAAAGCGUGGGGAGCAAACAGG